GGUAGCUCGUCGGGCUCAUAACCCGAAGGUCGUUGGUUCGAAUCCAGCCCCCGCUACCA
rnacentral:tRNA from 1 species